GGAGGGGUAGGCUAACGGCUAAGUCAGCGGUCUUGAAAACCGCCGUCCGAAAGGACUUGUGGGUUCGAAUCCCUCCCCCUCCG
rnacentral:tRNA from 1 species